CCAGGUUCGAGGCCUUUGGAACACCACAGCGUAUUUCUGUUGCACCUGACACAGUAAUAUUUAUUCUGCAAAUUUGUUUUCUUUCUCGGACCCAGGCCCACAACGUUCAAGUUUAGAUAAAAGUAUACUAUGAUCGACUGUGUCAAAUGCUUUAAGAUCUAGGAAUACUACCCCACUAAUCAAACCUUUAUCCAUGUUGGCUCCAUGUUGUUUUUAUGUCUAUGAGUACUGACUGCCAUAUUCAAUAUUAGAGAGUUUAAGAUCUACCACGCUGCCGGCUCAACAACGCGGUAAAGAAAUUUG